UCCCUGGUGGUCUACUGGUUAAGACUCAGCACUUUGACUGCUGCAGCUGGGGUUCAAUCCCUGGUCAGGAAC
rnacentral:tRNA from 1 species